AUAUGUUCGGCUUCCAGUUCGGUCCGCUUGCUUUUCGCAUUCGCGAUCUUGCAGUUGGUAGACCGCGUUAUUGACGUUGAUGACCUUGGGUUGUUAAGAGGUUGUGUUUUUAGUCUUUGUAUUUUUCGGUUAAUGUUCCUUUUCUACGUUUACGGCUAGUUUUAAUAUACCACCUAAAACAUCACAGGCAAAGAUGGCUGCAGUUGGUGACUUGUGGGUGUCUUGGUUCAGCUGUUGUGUGGCUCAACCACAGAAAAGGAGGCAUCGGAUAGACAGAUCCAUGAUAGGAAAUCCUACAAAUUUUCAACACACCGGCCACAUAGGAAGUAGGGAUGUGGAAAUGCCGGGUGAUCAACUAAUAGCUCUACAAAAUCAGAUGAAGAGUAAAGGCGGAUACGAAAGCACGUACAAGGUGUCGGCAAAUGGAGCCCGCAUCGACAAUUAAGCAAGUAAAUUAGUCAUAGAACGAUUGUGAUGCCGGAAAUGGGGGUUUUGACACUAAAUUUUAUAAACAUAUAAUUAAAGAAGUACCGCUACAUAAAGACUGCCACUAGUUUUUAAAUGAACCUGUAUGGUGCCAAUAGAUAAUUGAAAGUGAAACUUGGUGCACAUCGUCUGACGUGUCAUACUUGCGUGGAUAUUUAUUAAUUUUGUGGUAUUAUUUUUAUUUUAGAUUUAACCUAGUAUUUCAUUGGACUGUAUAUAUUAAUUAAGAGUUUUGUUAUAUUAUUUCUAAAGUGUACAUAUUGUUAUCAAAAUAUUUAUGUGUUAGCCUUUUAUAUUCCGCGAUAUGUAAAAAAGGGGUGCGUUCAAAUGCAGAUCUGGAUUUUACAAACAACUGACAAACGACUGGUGGUUUAAUUUCCGUUUUAUAGCAAGUAAAACGUGUUUCCUAUCAAAUUACCACAACAUUCCUUGUGUUAAUAUUUUAUAUGUUAUAGAACAAAUAAAUUUCUUGAUUUGCAGUGACUAAAAGUAAAAUUAUUUAGUUCCACAUCACACAAUUAAGAGAUUACUGACUUUGAUGUGAUAUUUCCAUUAAAUCAAUUUCUGGAUUUGACAACGCCCUACAACAUCAGUUGCGCACAUUACAUUAAUUAUUUAAAAAUGUGUAGUUUAGUUAUAAUUGUUUUAUGUAUUAGUAGAUUGUAUGGUCGUACGAAAUGUUACACUAAUGGUUGUUUAUCAUCAAUGCAAUAAUUGUAAAAUUCUGACGAAUUGGUGCUGAUUAUCGCGUAUAUAUGAUUUUAUUUGUAAAUGAAAUUUUUAUUUUCCAAAUAUUUUUGUUCAAGAGAAUGUAAUGGUCACUAUGUGACUUUUUCCUCUAUCAAAAUACAGGUUUUAGUUUGUAAAUUAAAACACGUGAUUUAUUCUUAAGACAGAUCUUCCACAUCAUUGAAUUCAUUAAUUUCCAUAUGACUAAAUAUUCACGCGUUUAAAAUGUUUUUAAACAGAAUUCAAGACUUAUUACUACUACCCUCAAAGACUUAAGGUUUUGUACUAUAAACUGGUAGCUCAAUAUAUUGCCUUUAAGGAAUUGUAAAUUCUAUAUUGUACUAUAGAACAAUUUUCAAAAAAAUAGUUACUUUUUGAAUGUUGUGUUUAGACUUCAAAUAUACCUAUAUUACCUAAUUAUAUAAGUAUAACUAUUUUUGCACAGAACAAAUGGAUUGGCACAUAAUAGUAUUAUAUUUAAUAUGUGGUAUGAUCCAUGUACUUAUGUAGAAAAAAUUGUAAAUUUCUAUGAAUUCAAUAGAAUUAUAUAAUUUGAAA